AAGACCUUGCACUUUUGGAGCGGCCGAUGUCUGAUUAGCUAGUUGGUGGGGUAAUGGCCUACCAAAGCUUCGAUCAGUAGCUGGUCUGAGAGGACGGCUAGCCACACUGGGACUGAGACACGGCCCAGACUCCUACGGGAGGCAGCAGUGGGGAAUUUUGGACAAUGGGCGCAAGCCUGAUCCAGCCAUGCCGCGUGAGUGAAGAAGGCCUUCGGGUUGUAAAGCUCUUUCAGUCGGGAAGAAAAGGUUGCGACUAAUAAUUGCAAUUCAUGACGGUACCGGAAGAAGAAGCACCGGCUAACUACGUGCCAGCAGCCGCGGUAAUACGUAGGGUGCGAGCGUUAAUCGGAAUUACUGGGCGUAAAGGGUGCGCAGGCGGUUUUGUAAGUCAGAUGUGAAAUCCCCGGGCUUAACCUGGGAACU
rnacentral:rRNA from 1 species